GUUUUGGAGGAGUCCAUACCUUGGCAGGUGAAUGACAGGUCUUGCAGUGUGAAACGGCAGUUUGUCUGCUUCAAAGGUACACUGAAUGGCACAGCAACGUUUGUCAGGAUUGAAACAUUAAGCAAUUGGACAGAAGCUCAGAGGUUCUGCAGAGAGAAUUAUGUAGAUCUGGCCAGCAUUCGAAAC